AUGUCGCAAAAUUUCCCAAUCAAGAAAGAGGCCUCUGUCAAGCAGCCUUCACUCUACGCCUUGAAGCCCUGUAAAGAAGACACUGCUUUCAUGACAAUGGGUUGCCUGGUAAAGGACUACUUCCCUGAUCCAGUGACUGUGACCUGGUAUUCAGACUCCCUGAACAUGAGUACCACGAACUUCCCUGCCCUCGGUUCUGAACUCAAAGUCACCACCAGCCAAGUGACCAGCUGGGACAAGUCAGCCAAGAACUUCACUUGCCAUGUGACACAUGCCCCAUCCUCAUUCAACGGGAGUAUGCCUAUCUCAGUUCGACGUGUCAACAUCACCAAGCCUACCUUGAAGCUACUCCAUUCAUCCUGCGACCUCAAUGCAUUCCACGCCACCAUCCAUCUGUACUGCUUCAUCUAUGACCACAUCCCAAAUGAUGUCACUGUCACCUGGCUGAUGAACAAUCAGAAGAUACCCGACACAAACGCACAAAAUUUCCUCAUCAAGGAGGAAGGCAAACUAGCCUCUACCUACAGUAAACUCAACAUCACCCAACAACAAUGGAUGUCUGAAAGAACCUUCACCUGCAAGGUCACCUCCCAAGGCGAGAACUAUUGGGCCCACACUCAGAGAUGCCCAGACGAUGAGCAACGGGGUGUGACUACCUACCUGAUCCCACCCAGCCCCCUGGACCUGUAUAAAAAGGGGACCCCCAAGCUUACCUGUCUAGUGGUAGACCUGGAAAGUGAGGAGAACGUCACUGUGACGUGGACCCAAGAGCACAAGAAGUCUGCAGGCUCAGCAAUCCAGAAGUGCAUCAAGCACCGGAAUGCCACAACCAGUAUCACCUCCAUCCUGUCAGUGGAUGCCAAGGACUGGAUUGAAGGUGAAGGCUAUCGGUGUACAGUGUCCCACCCUCAGUUUCCCAGGUCCAUUGUGCGUUCCAUCACCAAGGCCCCAGGCAAACGCUUAGCCCCUGAGGUAUAUCUGUUCCCACCACCAGAGGAGGAGAAGAAGGACAAACGCACACUCACCUGCUUGAUCCAGAACUUCUUCCCUGAGGAUAUCUCUGUGCAGUGGCUGCAGGAUGGCGAGCUGAUCCCAACCAGCCAGCACAGUACCACAACACCUCGGAAAUCCAAUGGCUCCAAUCGGGGCUUCUUCAUCUUCAGCCGCCUAGAGGUCACCAAGGCGCACUGGACACAGAUUAAACAGUUCACCUGCCGAGUGACCCACGAGGCACUUUGGGAACCCAGGAAUCUGGAGAGAACAAUAUCCAAGAGCCUUGGUAACGCCUCCCCCCGUCCCUCCCAGGCCUCUGUGUAGCUGUGGUGGAGAAGGUGGAUGGCAGAC